AACGAACGCUGGCGGCAUGCCUAACACAUGCAAGUCGAACGAGACCUUCGGGUCUAGUGGCGCACGGGUGCGUAACGCGUGGGAACCUGCCCUUAGGUUCGGAAUAACUCCCCGAAAGGGGUGCUAAUACCGGAUAAUGUCUUCGGACCAAAGAUUUAUCGCCUUUGGAUGGGCCCGCGUUGGAUUAGCUAGUUGGUAGUGUAAAAGCCUACCAAGGCGACGAUCCAUAGCUGGUCUGAGAGGAUGCUCAGCCACACUGGGACUGAGACACGGCCCAGACUCCUACGGGAGGCAGCAGUGGGGAAUAUUGGACAAUGGGCGAAAGCCUGAUCCAGCAAUGCCGCGUGAGUGAUGAAGGCCUUAGGGUUGUAAAGCUCUUUUACCCGGGAUGAUAAUGACAGUACCGGGAGAAUAAGCUCCGGCUAACUCCGUG
rnacentral:rRNA from 1 species